rnacentral:misc_RNA from 1 species
GAUGAAGAACGCAGCGAAAUGCGAUAAGUAGUGUGAAUUGCAGAAUUCAGUGAAUCAUCGAAUCUUUGAACGCACAUUGCGCCCUUUGGUAUUCCUUAGGGCAUGCCUGUUCGAGCGUCAUUUAAACCUUCAAGCUCAGCUUGGUGUUGGGUGACUGUCCGCCGCCUCCGGGCGGUCGGACUCGCCUCAAAUUGAUUGGCGGCCGGUACUUUGGCUUCGAGCGCAGCAGAAACGCGAACUCGAGGCCGACGUCCUGGCUCCCAGAAGCUAUCUUCACAAUUUUGACCUCGGAUCAGGUAGGGAUACCCGCUGAACUUAAGCAUAUCAAUAAGCGGAGGA